rnacentral:ncRNA from 1 species
GAGCGCCGUAUGCUGGGAAACUCGCACGUACGGUGUGAAGUGGGGGAANUGCUUAAGUUAAAUGAAAAACAACUUAAAAAGGUAAAUGAUUUGCGUGAGCAAUGUCUGAACGAAGCUAUCUGAUUCUACAUUUCAU